rnacentral:rRNA from 1 species
UGGCUCGAGGACGAACGCUGGCGGCGUGCCUAACACAUGCAAGUCGAACGGACUGAUUCCCUUCGGGGAUGAAAGUUAGUGGCGGACGGGUGAGUAACGCGUGAGCAACCUGCCUUUCAGAGGGGAAUAACGUUUGGAAACAGACGCUAAUACCGCAUAACGCAUAGGUGUCGCAUGGCAUUUAUGCCAAAGGAGCAAUCCGCUAGAAAGAUGGGCUCGCGUCCGAUUAGAUAGUUGGUGGGGUAACGGCCUACCAAGUCGACGAUCGGUAGCCGGACUGAGAGGUUGAACGGCCACAUUGGGACUGAGACACGGCCCAGACUCCUACGGGAGGCAGCAGGUGGGGGAUAUUGCGCAAUGGGGGCAACCCUGACGCCAGCAACGCCGCGUGAAGGAUGAAGGUUUUCGGAUUGUAAACUUCUUUUAUCAGGGACGAAGCUUGACGGUACCUGAUGAAUAAGCUCCGGCUAACUACGUGCCAGCAGCCGC